rnacentral:snRNA from 1 species
AUGCCUUAAACUUAUGAGUAAGGAAAAUAAUUCGGGAUGAUGCCCAAAUCAUCACGGCUAAUGUGAGACAAAUUUUUGAGUGGGUAAAGGUUGCUCCUAAGGUGACCCACCUACUUUGCAGGAUGCCUGGGAGUCUUGAUCUACCUA